UCAACCUACUCUUCUUCUAAUGAGAUGGUUCUGGAAAAUGUAAAGUUGGUUCAGCUGCACCUUCAGUACCUCAUACCACUGGAUCCCGUCCCUGGCUGACCCUACUAUGGCACUUGAGCCAUUGUAGCCUCCUCUCAGACAGCCUAAAGCAAAACAUCACCGGUCUUUCUUGUUCUCAUCACUAACCAAAGCUUUGCGAUCGGGAGAUCAGCUUCUGCCACAUUAUGAACAAAUGUGCUUCCAACUUUCAGCUCCUCCUGAGUCUCUCAUUUCCACUGAAGUUUAUGGGAGGAAAGAAAUGCAGAGCUCAUGGGACGAGUGCAUUCCUGGUUCAGCUUCACCGAGACCAGAAGAGUUAACACGAGGAUGUGGUUUGGCCCCCUGGGUCGGAGCGUGACAGAUAACGCAGCCAUCGAUUUU
rnacentral:lncRNA from 1 species